UACAGAGGUGGCAAGCGUUGUUCGGAUUUACUGGGCGUAAAGGGUGCGUAGGCGGUCUUGUACGUCGGAUGUGAAAUCCCACUGCUCAACGGUGGAACUGCAUUCGAAACUGCAAGGCUCGAGUUCAUGAGGGGGGAGUGGAAUUCUUGGUGUAGCGGUGAAAUGCGUUGAUAUCAAGAGGAACACCGGUGGCGUAAGCGACUCCCUGGAAUGAAACUGACGCUGAGGCACGAGAGCUAGGGGAGCAAACAGG
rnacentral:rRNA from 1 species